UUAAGCCAAGAAAGCAUAGGAAGAACCUGGAAAAGAGAAAAAGGAAAAACAGGAAAUUCUCUCUGCGAUGGCUUACGUCGAAAGAGGUUCCCGGCCGGCCUAGGUUAUCGUGAACCUUCUGAGUUCUGAGGAAGAAGAUGAAUCCAUUGACGUUAGUGAAGCGGAUUCAGAACAUCAACGCGAAAGAAGCAGCCCUAGGCAUCUCCGACGAGGCGUCCUGGCACACCAAGUACAAAGACUCCGCUUAUGUUUACGCCGGCGGCCUCCCUUUUGACCUCACUGAAGGCGAUCUCCUCGCCGUCUUUGCUCAGUACGGGGAGAUAGUUGAUGUUAAUCUUGUUAGAGAUAAAGGCACCGGAAAAUCUAAAGGCUUUGCUUUCAUUGCUUAUGAAGAUCAAAGAAGCACAAAUCUUGCUGUAGAUAAUUUGAAUGGUGCCCAAAUUCUUGGGAGAACAAUCAGAGUUGACCAUGUUUCUAAAUAUAAAAAGAAAGAGGAAGAGGAUGAAGAGACUGAGCAGCGAAAGAGGGAGGAGCGUGGGGUUUGCCGUGCCUUCCAGAGGGGCGAGUGCAAUCGCGGAGCAGGGUGUAAAUUUUCGCAUGAUGAACGAAGAGCUGCAAACACAGGUUGGGGUCAUGAGGAAGAUAGACGUUCAAGAUGGGCCAAUGACAAGUUUGAGGGUUCCACAGGUAACAGAAAACAAUCUGGUGUGCCAGACCGUGUUCUGGAAUCUGCUAAUCAGAAAGGGCGUGGGUUGACAGAUAAGGACUCCAGAGAUUCCAGGGUGAAGGGCACCAAGACGGGCUUAGACAGACACUAUGAACAUGGUGAAUUGAGUCCCAGAGAUAGGGGACACAGGGACUAUGAGAAGAAAUUGGACAGAAAGGAGACAGAUGCGAGGCAUAGGGAUGACAGGAAUGAUUUGCGUGAUAGAGAGUCAAGGAGGCGUGAUGCCAAAUCAAACUCGGGAGAAGAUCAUAAUGGUAGAGAUGAGAAAAGAUCAAGAAAGUAUGAAGAUGGAUCCUACACAAAUGAGGAUAGAGAUAGUAGGGGUUUGGACAGAAGGUCGACUCGUGAUAAGGUAGCCUCCCCAAGCCGUCCUAGAAACUCUGAUGAUGAUUAUCGGCAUAGGUCUCACAGGUAGCAGGAAUCCUCUAGUUUUGGGGACAGAUGCUGGGCGUUUCUAAUGACUACAGGCUCUUGUUUUUUGGCUCCACUGUACCCUUCUUCAGGUUGCCUAGUUUUAUCAUGUGAGGAAAAUUGCAGCAAGGCAAAGAAUGACUUACUGCAUAAUGUUGCAUUUGCUACACGAUGGCACUAUUUGAUACUUUAAUGCUGAGGAAGGCAUUUAAUUAAGUAGGUGCCUCUCCCAAAUGUUGCAUUAUCAAAGUUGUAAUGGCUGUGCGGGACUAGGGAUAAAUCCAUUAGAACCCCUUGUUUGCAUCAAGGAGAUCCUGCUGAAAGGUUUUCUGUAACUGGAGGUGGACUCGAAUAGUGGCGAAAAUCUGAAGAUCUUAAAUUGGAGCUGUAAUUAGUAGACAUAGGAGAUGAACUUUUUCCGAAACCAUUUACACCAUUGGUCUGACUUUUCAUAUCUUCAGAGACAGUUUCCUAGAGUAUGCUUUCUACGAACUUCUUAUCUGCAUGUAAGAUAUCUCCUGUUUUCUUUAAAUACCAGAAGGCCAAAGGAUUGCAUAUGAUUUAUAAAGAUGAAAUUUAGCUGUCAAUAAA